CACGUAGGGCGCAAGCGUUGUCCGGAAUUAUUGGGCGUAAAGGGCGCGUAGGCGGCCUGUUAAGUCGAACGUGAAAUCCCCGGGCUCAACCCGGGAACUGCGUCCGAUACUGGCAGGCUUGAAUCCGGGAGAGGGAUGCGGAAUUCCAGGUGUAGCGGUGAAAUGCGUAGAUAUCUGGAGGAACACCGGUGGCGAAGGCGGCAUCCUGGACCAACACUGACGCUGAGGAGCGAAAGCCAGGGGAGCAAACAGGA
rnacentral:rRNA from 1 species